GAUGGUAUCGAAUUUCAACACAGGAUUCGUCUAUAUCUAUUAUAAAUAUUCUUAAAUAUGAAACAAAUAUGAUGUAGGGAUGAGAUACAAACGAGAUACAGACGCCCAGAUGAUAAUUUUUUAAUCAAACAUUGUUACCGGUAUACAUAAUUAUUUUAUUGCAGGUAAUGUUUUUCGUCUGGUUUUUUUGGGGUGCGGUUUUUAUGUGUUUUAUAAAAUAAUUUUUCGUUUGAUAUAAAAAUAAAA